rnacentral:tRNA from 1 species
ACCUGUCUAGCUCAGUUGGUAGAGUGUGAGACUCUUAAUCUUGGGGUUGUAAGUUCAAGCCCCAUGUUGGAUG